CUAAGAAUGAUGGUUUCCCUGCCCCGGGAGGCUACAGAGCAGGAGAUUCGCUCACUCUUCGAGCAGUAUGGGAAGGUGCUGGAAUGUGACAUCAUUAAGAAUUACGGCUUUGUGCACAUAGAAGAUAAAACUGCAGCUGAAGAUGCCAUACGCAACCUGCACCAUUACAAGCUUCAUGGGGUGAACAUCAACGUGGAAGCCAGCAAGAAUAAGAGCAAAACCUCAACAAAGUUGCAUGUGGGCAACAUCAGUCCCACUUGCACCAAUAAGGAGCUUCGAGCCAAGUUUGAGGAGUAUGGUCCGGUCAUCGAAUGUGACAUCGUGAAAGAUUAUGCCUUCGUACACAUGGAGCGGGCAGAGGAUGCAGUGGAGGCCAUCAGGGGCCUUGAUAACACAGAGUUUCAAGGCAAACGAAUGCACGUGCAGUUGUCCACCAGCCGGCUUAGGACUGCGCCCGGGAUGGGAGACCAGAGCGGCUGCUAUCGGUGCGGGAAAGAGGGGCACUGGUCCAAAGAGUGUCCGAUAGAUCGUUCAGGCCGCGUGGCAGACUUGACCGAGCAAUAUAAUGAGCAAUACGGAGCAGUGCGUACGCCUUACACCAUGAGCUAUGGGGAUUCAUUGUAUUACAACAACGCGUACGGAGCGCUCGAUGCCUACUACAAGCGCUGCCGUGCUGCCCGGUCCUAUGAGGCAGUGGCGGCUGCAGCUGCCUCCGUGUAUAAUUAUGCAGAGCAGACCCUGUCCCAGCUGCCACAAGUCCAGAAUACAGCCAUGGCCAGUCACCUCACCUCCACCUCUCUUGAUCCCUACGAUAGACACCUGUUGCCGACCUCAGGAGCUGCUGCCACAGCUGCUGCUGCAGCAGCAGCCGCUGCUGCUGUUACUGCAGCUUCCACUUCAUAUUACGGGCGGGAUCGGAGCCCCCUGCGUCGCGCUACAGCCCCAGUCCCCACUGUUGGAGAGGGCUACGGUUACGGGCAUGAGAGUGAGUUGUCCCAAGCUUCAGCAGCUGCGCGGAAUUCUCUGUACGACAUGGCCCGGUAUGAGCGGGAGCAGUAUGCCGAUCGGGCGCGGUACUCAGCCUUUUAAAGCUUGAGGUGGGAUGUGUGUGGGCUGAAAUUCCGAGCUGCGGUUGUGCAUGAGAAUACACCCUUCGUGGUACCCCAUCUCCGGGACGUUCUCGGCUCUGUGCGUUCAGUCCCUCAGGAACCAUGGACCUUAAUUUACCUUGCUAAGUUCAGACCUUCUCUUCCUUUCCUUUCCUUUCCUUUCCUCUCCUGCCCAUUUUCCUGUUCUUCUGUCCUUCAAAACUUCUGUAGCUUCCCAUUCAUGUUCUGUACUCCCAGCAGGCCUCAUUGUGUGCAGAAACUGUGGUGGGGGCUGUGCUGUCUCCUCCCUGCCUCCUGCCUCCUGCGGCUGUUGGAUUUGGGAAUGACCUUGGUGAGAGUCUCACUGCUCCAGGGUCUCUCUUUGGUCCAAAGGCUAGACCUAUAGAGUUGGAUCACUUUUUUUCUUUCCAGUGAAAUAAAUGGUUUUUCAACUUAAAAAAAAAAAAA